rnacentral:rRNA from 1 species
CGGUAAUACGGAGGGUGCGAGCGUUAAUCGGAAUUACUGGGCGUAAAGCGCAUGCAGGUGGUUUGUUAAGUCAGAUGUGAAAGCCCGGGGCUCAACCUCGGAACUGCAUUUGAAACUGGCAGACUAGAGUACUGUAGAGGGGGUAGAAUUUCAGGUGUAGCGGUGAAAUGCGUAGAGAUCUGAAGGAAUACCGGUGGCGAAGGCGGCCCCCUGGACAGAUACUGACACUCAGAUGCGAAAGCGUGGGGAGCAAACAGGAUUAGAUACCCUGGUAG